UGGUUCAAACAACUCUCCAUUCCACAUAUUGAGCCAUUCAACAGAUCGGUUUCUUCGCGGCUUCCACCAUCGACGUGGUUUCUGAUUGCCGAUGACUCAUUUCUUCAAUGGCUGAAACUUACAGCUUGUUGGGUCACGAUUGCAACAACUUUAGUAAUGAGGUUGAUCAGCCUUUGGUUGGCUCGACGAUCCCUGAGUAUAUUCUUCAGCUUCCCAGCGAAGUUAGCAGCAGUCCCGUCGGUAGACUCGUGCGUAAGUCGGGAUAGAGAUAACAAUCAUAGAUUCUUUUUAGUCGAUACAUCUAUUAUUUAUUCGUGGUAAUGUUCGUUGUAUUGACCGUGUCGAUGAUUCAGAAUCUCAAAACAAUGUUAAGAUCGAGGGUAGUCCUGAAAGUUCCACAGGUUAGGCAUAAUCAACCAACGACUUCGGCCGCGAAUAUCGGUCUUGGAUUCUAAUGUUGAAGAAUCAUCAGGCUGUGAUGUCGGACCGCGCUGUCGUGGUGGUAGCAAGGCAACUAAAGGGCAGUCUGUCGGGCAAGAACAAUGGAGGACUUGACACAUCUGGCUAUAGAGCCUGGGAUGACAAUUGAUGAAAGUCUGCUCGGGGAUGCUCGAGCCAUGAUAUGAGACAGUAUCUGUGUCAGCUCAAGCCCACCUCUAGUAGAUAUUGUCCGCUUUGACCCGUUACGUAUCACAGGACUAGAGUGUACGAAGUUAUGAACAUGACAUCCUUAACCUAUUAGUUCGAAAGCACCGUGGAGAGAAACAAAAGUCCACAGACCACCUAAUUGACAAAGUAAAAUCUCCUUGUGCUUCAGGACUCUGCAGUAACAACAAAGAGUGUGCUAAAGUAUUAGCAGGAGUCGAAACUGCGGCGGUUAAGAAGUUACAUCCUUCAGGGUAAAAUAGGCACAAGGAAAGAGCAAUUUCUCCCUCCAAUGUCGCUCAAGGAUGCAAGUAGUUAAAAACUUUUGAGAGGGAAUACUAUUGAGAUAACUG